CUCUCUCUUCUGAGGGGUCGGCGGCCUCUCUCUCUUCUGAGGGGUCGGCGGCCUCUCUCUCUUCUGAGGGGUCGGCGGCCUCUGCUCGUGCCCCUGGCCUGUCUCCCCCGCGGCCCGGGGAGGUCGGAGCACCCGGGACGGACUUCAGCCUCUUUCGGACAGGCCAGCGGUGGGCCGGCGGCUGCCCUCGAGGCCGUCCUCCUGCUCCUCUCGGAUCGGGCCCCUGGGUGUAACUGCCACUGAAGUAGACAUUUAAAAGAGGACUGAUGACAACAAAAGCAAAGUUUCCUGUGACAGCAGGAUCUAUAGUUGUCCCUUAUGGGCAUGUGAUUGGAAAUGAGAAGUGGAGAGGGUCAGAGAUAGCCCAAAGGCUACAAGGAAAAAUCAGACUUAUUUUUGAAGAUGGCUUGGGACUUGUGGAUUUUCAUCUUUCAAACAGAACUUGCAUUUUAUAUAUUUCUGAAGCAGAUUUGGUUGCAGGAGAUGAAUUCAAACGAAGAUUGGUUCGGUUUAGAAAUGCCAGCAGUCUUGGGGGAAUUGUAAUUGUAGAGAAAACCCAAAUAAGCGAUCAGUAUUUCUUAGCAGUGCAAAAGCUUGUUGUGCUAGAACUUGGAAUGGUGUUGCUUCCUGUGACAAAUCAACGAGAAGCUUCUCAACUUAUUACUCAACUAGUCCGUGAGCAGAGUAAGGAUCUCAGCAGUAACCCCUUUCUUCGUAAGCAGUGUUCUCAGCUGGCAGAGCCAUCCUUGUUUCGGACGGUGCAACAAAUUCCAGGAGUUGGGAAAACAAAAGCUCUGCUUUUACUGCAACAGUUUGGAAGCAUCCACCGGCUUUGUAAUGCGUCUGUCAAAGAGCUUGAGCUAGUAGUUGGACAAACACUAGCACAACAAAUUUACAGGGUCUUGUGUAUCAGUAUAUGGCUGCUGCUGCUUGAGUAUGUAAAAGAAGUGCUGCUACAAGUACGCAUGGAGAGUAACUACUAAGGAUAGCAUCAAGUUUGUAAUAAAUAACUCCCAUCUAUCUUACACAAGAUUACUCGUGAUACUGUCUUUCGAAAUUCCAAAGGAAGCCAGUCCUCAUGCCUUUUGUUUCCACCAGCAGCUUGGAACAGUGGGCGUGCAAUUCCUUCUUUGCAAUAAGGAAAAACAACUUCUUGAAACAAGAAAUGCUAACAGGAGUAAGAACACUUUGAUCACUUCUAAGGCAACAAUACUCCAGUACCUAAGCCUGCCAGGGAAUGUUAGAAGCAUAAAGCACUGGAUUUAGCUGAACUACAUGUUCUCUCAUACAACAAAACAAGCUGGAUCAAGACAAUAAAUCUGUACUGGUGAGCCUCCCUUAAGGCUGAAUCCGAGCUCUCCUGCUUCAUGGUGGAUGCGAAUGGUACGCGGAGCCGUCCACCUCUGCUUGGCUGAGAACACGGUCAGUGGGCCCUGCAGAUGCUGCUAAGUGCACUGUGUCCCAAUGAAGGCUCACUUCCAUCCCUAGACUGACGGAGUAUUUUAACCUGUUUGCCUUUGGAAUCUAUGAAAAAUAUGCGGUCAACUUCCAAUGAAUUGCAAAUUUCACCAGAGAACACGAUGGUAAAGCUCUUGGACAAUGAAGAUUCCUGUUCUGUAUCUCAGAAAUUAAGUCAAUUACAAUAUUGAAAUUGAAAGAAAAGGAGACUCUCGAAGGCUGGCUUACUGCAAUUUACCUCAACCUUUAUACACCUGCACAAGUUAUAUGGACAGAAACCAGCUCCAUGGUUGCUAGGACAUCUGACAAGCUCUACUUCUGGGAAAUUUUUCAGGAUGAUCAACUGCCCGAUUCCCAAGCCCAUGAAGCUCACUAGAAGUGGUGUGUUUGUUUCAGUGGACCUUUGAUCAAGCUCCAGCCCAGAAAUCAAACAAGCUCCCAUUAAAUGAUGACUGCAAAACUGCCAUGAUCUUAAACUCUGUGCAAAGAGAAAAGAAUGGCAGAAAUGUUUCCCCACGUUUCAGGACCAGCCACUAAUCUCUGGGUGAAGCUUAAUGCACAAACAGCCCUGGGGCCAGAGAGGAGAAGGCUCCUACAGACUGAGGUAUCCAGUCACCAUCCAAGCAUGCCUGGAAGGGAUGCACUUUGUCUCCUGAUGAAAGGCUUCUUGUGGAUAAAGGAGUGUUCUCAGCACUGCCUCACCUGCACCUCUCCUCCCAUUUGCUUCUCACGGCCUACAGAAACCUUUCUUUUGCGUUUUGGAAAACAGUGCUUUUUACUUCUCCUGUACAGGGGAGGGGGCCACCCAGGCAGUUUGUGUUCACUGGCAGGCCACAACUCCAUUGUAACCAGCCUCUCAGAAAACUGGUGGGUGGAUGACUGGGGAAAUACACAAUCUGGGGAAGACUCCCCCUCGUGUAAAGCCCAAAUUCUGUGCACUAAAAAGUUAUUGAGCAGACAGGUCUCAGGUCUCUGAAAGCACUUCAUUUUGUUUUCCUCCAUGCAGAAAGGAGGCCUCCAUUCCUUUCCCAGACAGCAUUUGCACUUGCUUCACAUUUGGAUAAUCCCAAGAAUGUUAAUGUUCAGGUCAUUACAAUAUCUGGCAGCCAAACUUCCCAGGAGUUUCCACACCUGCUAUUUAAUUUCUUGUCAACAGAAUGCUAGAUGCUUCAUUUAAUUACUGUUUAUUUCUUUGCCGAGCCACGACAACUCAGAUUGUGAAUUGGAUUUUACCCUGGCUUAUACACUAUCAGUAAACCUAUUAAUUAAAUAGCAACACAAGAAUGGUUAUUACUAAGGAAGCUGCAAAAUGACCAAGAAUAGAGCGUGAUUUAAGCUUUCAUUGCAUACAGGGGGGGAAGGAAAAAACAAGUAAAUUGAGUAACUACUGUGAAGACAAUUCAAAUAGUAAACUCAGCUAUCAGUUCUAGAGCCUUCCUCCUCCCCGAGAGCAUAGCUGCACUUCACAAAGGAAUAUUUCAAGUCUUUAAAUAUUAUUAUACUGAGCUCCUGAAGCAAUAAAAGCUUUUUAAAACCUAAAGUUCAGUUAGCUAGUUACUUUAUUUCUUCCUGCUUGGCUGAAUAGCAUUGUUGAACUGCAGAAUCAGGAAGCUGGGAUGUUUUUAAUGUAUCAUUAUCAGAGGCAAGACCUGCACAAGAGUUAGAAAUUCUUGCAAUGUGUUACUUAGGUACCUCAUCAGGGAACAUCUGGAAAGAAACAGACACUGCUAUUUUUUUUUUUUCCUCCUCAGCGCUGCCUCCAACUCCAGGGCCACCAAUAUCAGGAGGACAUGGAGCUGUUGGAGCAGGGCCAGAGGAGGCCACGAAGAUGCUCCGAAGGCUGGAGCCCCUCUGCUGUGAGGACAGGCUGAG